CAGCCGCCGCGGUAAUACGUAGGUGGCAAGCGUUGUCCGGAUUUAUUGGGCGUAAAGCGAGCGCAGGCGGUUAGAUAAGUCUGAAGUUAAAGACUGUGGCUUAACCAUAGUAUGCUUUGGAAACUGUUUAACUUGAGUGCAGAAGGGGAGAGUGGAAUUCCAUGUGUAGCGGUGAAAUGCGUAGAUAUAUGGAGGAACACCGGUGGCGAAAGCGGCUCUCUGGUCUGUAACUGACGCUGAGGCUCGAAAGCGUGGGGAGCAAACAGGAUUAGAUACCCCUGUAGUCCCUGUCUCUUAUACA
rnacentral:rRNA from 1 species